UACGGAGGGAGCUAGCGUUAUUCGGAAUUACUGGGCGUAAAGCGUACGUAGGCGGCUUUGCAAGUUAGAGGUGAAAGCCUGGAGCUCAACUCCAGAACUGCCUUUAAAACUGCAUCGCUUGAAUCCAGGAGAGGUGAGUGGAAUUCCGAGUGUAGAGGUGAAAUUCGUAGAUAUUCGGAAGAACACCAGUGGCGAAGGCGGCUCACUGGAGCUGGUAUUGACGCUGAGGUACGAAAGCGUGGGGAGCAAACAGG
rnacentral:rRNA from 1 species